ensembl:misc_RNA 7SK 7SK RNA
GGAUGUGAGGAUGAUCUGACUAUAAAGUCUGGCACCCAUUCAUCACCAGGGAUGAUUCAGCUGACUCUGGAUGGCUAGAAGGGUAUCCCUUCUUCCCUCACCGCUCCCUGUGCAUCCCUCCCAGAGCUGCAUGCUCAGUCCAAGAGGGAGAUCUUCCCUGAUAGAGGACUUUUCUUCAGUCAAGGGUAUAUGAGUAGCUUGUUCCCCUGCUAGAACCUCCAAACAAGCUCUCAAGAAAAGGCUGUCUGGGCUGGGGAGAUAGUUCAGUGGUAAAGCACUUGCCUAGCAUGCAUAAGGUCCUAG